GACGAACGCUGGCGGCGUGCUUAACACAUGCAAGUCGAACGGAAAGGCCCCUUUGGGGUUACUCGAGUGGCGACCGGGGGAGUAACACGUGAGUAACCUGCCCUAUCCUUCGGUACAACUUCAGGAACCUGGGGCUAAUACCGGAUAGGAAUCCUUGCUGCUUGGGGGGGGUUGGAAAGCUUCUGCGGUUUUGGGUGGACUGGCGGGUUAUCAGCUUGUUGGUGGGGUAGUGGCUUACCAAGGCUUUGACGGGUAGCCGGCCUGAGGGGGCGACCGGCGACACUGGGACUGAGAUACGGCCCAGACUCCUACGGGAGGCAGAAGUGGGGAAUAUUGCACAAUGGGCGGAAGCCUGAUGCAGCAACGCCGCGUGCGGGAUGACGGCCUUCGGGUUGUAAACCGCUUUCAGCAGGGGCGAAGCUUGUGGUGACGGUACCUGCAGAAGAAGCACCGGCUAACUACGUG
rnacentral:rRNA from 1 species